CUUCUGGUAAAGCUUCAUUGAGAUUCUGUUGAUCAUCAAGACUUACCUACUUUCUGAGGCCAAGUUCUCCCUGCCACUUCCCCCACUUCUCCACCCAACACUGCAAGCCCGAAAGCAUUUUCCACCACUUCCCAACAAAGACUUGGAGCCGUGGACUAAAGCCUGGAAGUUCUUGAGGCCUUUUAGGAAGAAUCUGAACUGCAAAACACAUGUUCUUGAUAUUUAUAACUGGUCAAAAUAACGCUGGAGUUAAUGUUACAUCUGUUAUGGUAAAUUAAACCUUCUGAGCUGUCCUGUAAUAGAAAGAGGCUGCAGAGUUCUGUUUUUUCCAUCCUUUGUUUAAAUCAUGCAAAAAUCUGAAAGAACAUUUGCUUACAAGAAAUAAGGCUAACUUGUGAAAUACUUAUAAAUGAAGUCAGAUGACGAGAAACCCAAAUAGCAGGCCUUGAUGAAGCGUUCAUCCCCAGGCCUGAAAGCCAGCUGGGUCUUUCUGUAACAUCAAAGGCACGCACGACUGAACCAACCUGGAGACUCUCCUUGCUCCCAGCAGCCCUGACGCCCUCAGACCGCCUGAAGCAAGGGUGACCUACCAGGAGCCAGACCACCAUCAGGAUGAGAUCUAUGUUUUGUUUUAUCCUAAAUUCUUCCUGGGACUGUUCUCUGUGUGGAUGGCUGAGAAAAGCAAAACCAAGAUGAUAAUUGCAGAGACUUCCAGUCUUCUUUUCUUGGUUUGGUACUGCUGGUACACAACUUCCACAGUCAGUAUCACAAAGAAGUUCUCCAUCUUCUUGACAAAACAAAACAAAAUCUAAGAAGGUAGAUCAUUCACACCAUCUGAUACUUGGUCAAUAAAAUGGCUUUUGACAAAAAACUUGAUUAAAUGCUGGGGUGUGUGUGUGUGUGUGUGUGUGUGUGUGUGUGUGUGUUUGUCCUUCUUUAUGAGUAUGCUGGGCCAGAUGGGAGGAGGAGGGAGGGUAGGACAAAGGAUUAAAUCUUUUAAAUCAUGCAUUUCAUCACUGGGGCUGAGCAUGUGCAACCACAGGGCCACCAGAGUGCUAGUGCCUGGUGACUAGGAGACAUUGAAGAUAGGUCACUGUUGAUUUUUCCCCAUGUCCCCCAGCAGGAGCUGAGAUGAAAAUAACAGAUUUGACAUCUGGAGAACAGAAGUCCUAUUGCAAUUUCUGUUUUUUAUUUUAUGUGCCCUCAUGCACACAAAAAUAUGAAAGAAUAGUUUUGAGCCUGGAGAAGAUCUAUCCUGUAAUAUAGACUUUGUGGUAUUUUUAAAGGUGUUUUGCUUUGAUUGAGCUUUCUGAAUCUGUUUGGAAAACCAUGUCAUAGAAACACAGUACAUUUAUAAAGGUAUUUAUUUUCAUGCCUUCUGGUGUUCCACAAAGUUUUCUAUAUAUAUUUGGGGUUUUUUUGUUUUUUGUUUGUUGGUGCUAGGGACUGAACCCAGGGCCUUGCACUUGCAUGUGCUUAGCACAUGCUCUACCAUGGAGCUAUAUCCCAAGGCUACUGGCUGUUUUUAAAGAACUCAUGAGUGUGAAAUAAAAAUUUAGAAGCUUUACCAGUCAAGCUCUGCAUAAUUUCAUAGACACCCCUGUCCAAUUGAGAUGAAUAAAGUAAGACAACAGAACAGUCUUUUGGGAAAGAGUCCCAAGAGGGUUCAGGAGGUGGAUGGAGAAAUUAGACUCAGCCAUGGCUGCCCUAAUGAAGCCAUUUCUAGCUGCAAGACCUGGG
rnacentral:lncRNA from 1 species